rnacentral:lncRNA from 1 species
UACCAGCUGGUAGGAACUACAUUUUGGACUACUUUACUACGCUUGCUGUAAUCAGUUUUUCCUCCCUUUGUAGACUUUUCCAUUUGCAUUCGUGACGGGAGAAUGGAGGAGAUGGAAUGUCCUUGUGCUGAAUUUAGUAAAGGUUCUUGUGCUGAAUUUAGUAAAACAGAGACCACCAGAGGAAGUGAUGAGAGACUGGCAAUGAUGUACUGAAUGAGCAUGGUGGAAAGACAACAUAGUCAAAUGGGGGUUUGUCAUAAGCCUAACUUGUGCACAGCCUGCUUUGAUAGAGAGCCUACAGGAUAUUUUCAUCUAUGUGACCUUACCGCCUGUAUACCUUGUACACUAAAUAUUUUUAAAAACAAUGUAGGAAGAAAUACCCUAAAUAUGGGAGUAAAAUUGAAGCUGUCAGAAACAUUUAUAACUAAAAAAGUAUUUGAUAAUAUAAUAGCAAUUCUGACAUGAUUAAAAUCAAGGUAGAUACUUAAGAGCGGAAAGCAUUUUAAGUUAACUGUUUACUUCUUUCGAUGUA